rnacentral:lncRNA from 1 species
GGGUAGUAGGGAGAACUCGCUUUAUCGCCUGCCCCACAACCAAAGCCAACUCUUCUUCCAGAGUGGAGAGUCGGCAAAGGCUGGGGACCAGACCCGAGGCCUCCUUGUCUGGGAGUCAGAAUCCACAACCCCACUCUUCCCAGCCCAACAAGACACUGUGCUUUCUCUGGGCCUGCCCGCCAGCACACAUCUCCUCGGGGUAUGUAUGUACUAAAAUAUCUUCCCUUUAUUUUAUCUGGUCUUCGCCCCAUGGGGCAAGCCAAAGGCUCCUAUUUAUUCUUUCACACAUUAAUUUAAGCUGCUUUAAUUGCUGCUAUGAUAUGUUUUAUAUAAUAUAAUUAAUGUUUUAAUUCUGUGUACUUGCUUCCCCAGGCAGUUUUGCGAAAGACCCAAUUUUGGAAUCAAGCAAAUAAAGACUAAAUAAUGGC